GGACUAUGCUUAGUAGGUUCUUUAUUGAUGUUUACAACAGUCUUAUAAGCCAGUUACUAUUAAUAUACUGAUUUACAGACAAGGAAAGUGAAGCCCAGACAGAUUAAUUAACAUGUCCAAGGUCACAGAAUUGAUAAUAGGGUUGAGACAGGAAUGCUGGCAGUCGAGUUAUAUCCUAGAAGAUCUACUUGUUGUCCAUGGAUUUCCUCUUCAAUGAGCAGGUCAGAGCUGUAUGUUAAUUUGGACGUACUGGUGUUGCUGUAAUGAAGAGGCAGCUGCACCAAGCCAGGGUGCCACAGGCCUAUUGCAUGAUGCUUACUUUUUCAUGUAUGCUUUUAGCUUUAGUCUUUGCUUGUCACUUUGUUCUCAUGAAAUACUUCCUGGAAACUGUCAAAGAAACUUAUACAGUAUCUUACAACAAGUAAUUAUUGUUUACAUUAUAAAGAUGAGGAAAUUGAGGUUCAAAGAGGUCAAGUAACUUGACCAAUAUCCAAAAAUCCUCCCUUUUGAAAUGUCCAUGGAUUUACAUACACAACAUACUUAAUCAUAUACAAAACAUCUUCUUGUGAUACUUUUUAGAAUGUUGCUGGGUGGUGGGCUUUUCUAACAAAAACAUCCAAUAUAUUCUCUUUUUUUUUCUUUUGGUCAAAUUUUAAAUUUCCUGAGAAUUUGGAUUUUCUCACAGAGCUGCUCUGGAAAUGUAAGUGUAAUUGCAGCAACAACUAAAGAAAAAAAAAAGCCCUAAAAUCCCAUCCAAUAUUUCUCUUAGUACCUUUAGUCAUAAGCUAAAAAGCACUUUGAAGUCUGUGGGACACCAGCAAUUCUGUUUGUUUGGCAACUCGCUGCAGUGAGUUAAUGAUUUCUUUGGCAUUUUCUGAGACUUUCAACAGCAGUUACUUUUAAAUCCCCUAUAAAGGUCUAGAGAAGCCUUGGGACAUUUUCAUUUGAGAUGAUAACAAAGUCAUUUUAGGAGAAAAACUGGGUUGUGCUGUGAAAGGUUCUGAAGAUGGAGCCCAGAUGCUCAACCACUACCUGAACUCCAAUCUGGGCUGCAAAUGCGGAGGGAAUAACCAUCCCACAAAAUGUCGUGUUUCCCAGCACAAGUGAGUGCCAAGAAUUUAAAAGAUUAAGGGAAUUGAGAGGAACAUGAGUGAGGCAGCCAACCUCUCUAAAAGUCAGGAGCCUGGUACAUGGCUGCAGAGAAGAAAGGUAGCAAAACUCUUCAUUAUGUGACUCUUAGGGGGAAAAUUCAAUUUUAAUAUUAUCUUAUUUUUAUCAAAUAGUAGCCUUCAGGUUUGUAUUGUUAUGAAUGUUUAUAUAUUCAACAGCAAAACAGUAAAAUUCAAAGAUUAUUUAUGAUGAUUUUACCUCUUAUUUCUGGAAUGUUGUAAUUGCAUGGAUAUUAAAUAAUAAUGUUGAUAUGGUAUGGCUCUGUGUCCCCACCCAAAUCUCAUCUCUAAUUGUAAUCCCCACAUGUCAGAGGAGGGGCCUCGUGGGAGGUGAUUGGAUUAUGAGGUGGAUUUCUCCAUUGAUGUUCUCAUGAUAGUGAGUGAGUUCUCACAUGAUCUGAUGGUUUAAAACUGUGUGGCACUUCCCCAUGUGUGCUCUCUCUGUCUCCUGCUUCACUGUGGAAAGACAUGCCUUGCUUCUCUUUCAUCUUCCAUCAUGAUUGUAAGUUUCCUGAGGCCUCCCUAGCCUUGUGGAAAUGUGAGUCAAUUAAACCUCUUUUCUUCAUAAAUUACCAGAUCUCAGGUAGUUUUUUACAGCAGUAUGAAAAGGGAGUAAUGCAAAUGUAUUUUACAAAGAAUAAUAAGUACUCAUAUUGAGAAAUUGGAUAUUAAAGAUGAUUUUCCAUCAAAACAAAUGGAUUCAGCUCUGUUUUAGCCACUCAAACCGUGUCACUUUGGCCAAAGCAUUUAGUCUUUUGAAGUCUUAGCUUACUUUUAAAAAAUAAUCAUGACCAACACAAUGAACUCUGAGACCCAUUUGUCUGCAGCAGAGUGGCCUGGACAGCACAGCAGCAGAUUAGCAUCUUUGCCCAAAGUUGGGCAAGGCAAAAAGUGGAGUGAAUGUUAGAUUUUGAAAGCCUAUGCAUUUAGAAAGGACAUGCCAAGUGUAGAACAACAAUUUUUUGAUAAGUGGGAUGAAAAUAGGAAGCACUCUAUCCAGUUUUUUUUACUCAGUUGUUUUUCAGUGGAACUAUUCUUGCUUGAUUAAUUGAAUAGUGUUCAUCCAGCUGUCAAGGCUGGAAAUCUGACUCCUCCCUUUAAUCCUAAAUAACUUAAUUGGCCUUCUACCAUGAACCACCACUUGAUCCUUCCCUGUAAAUCUCAAAUGAAUGAAAUGUCCUUGAUCCCAUCUCUGAAAUUUCUCUCACACCCACCUCAGCUUUCACAGCUCAUUUUUCACCUGCAUUAUUAGAAUAGUGGUCCCCCAGUGGGUUCCCCACCUCUGGAAUCUAUUUGUUCCUCUCCAGUUUCUACACUAGAGCAUGAACACAUUGCUCAUGCCUGCUUCUCUUCCAUGGCUUCUCAUUACAUAUAGAUCAAGUCAAAUUUCUUUACCUUUUUAUGCAAAGCAGGUCAUAAUAUGGCUGCAACCUGCCUGUCCAGUGUUAUCUCUUGUCUGAAUCCUGAUUUAGAUUUAAAGGGGCACAACCAGCAGAACUACACUUCAUUCCACAAUCACACAUCAUUCUUGCCCACUUAUCUUUCUUGUAUAUUUUGCUGUUAAAAUUCUAUGCAUGCUUUAAAGCCACAAAUAUUACUUCAUCUAUGCAGCCUUCUGGUUUGUACCUGUUUAGAAAUUAAGUUUUCUUAUUUUGCACUUUCAAAAGACCAUGAAUGUCAAUAUGGCAGUUACCAUAUUUGAUGUGACACUAUAUUAACAGCAGGGUCUUAAUGUAUGUAUCUUCAUAUAUUUUCAAUGUUCAGCCAAGGGGAAGCAAUAACUGUAUGUUUGGAUUGAAAUAGAUAGCAUGGACCUAGCUCAAUGCAUCUAACCCAUUUCUACUAUAUGAUCUAGUAAGAGAAGUCCACAAGUUCAUUCAUUUUUCUGGGCAUGGUCUAUCUACUGCUGAUAAAUCAAUACAUCUGUUGCUUAUUUUAUGCCCCUUUAUCCUUUCUAAUCCCUUCCUGACAGAAGUGGGGAGUGUAGUGCUGGUUUGUCUUAGAGGGAAAUACAGAGAGGUUGAAGGGCUUUAGAAGAUAUUAUUCCAGAGUCACAUUAAUGCACUAACUUGCCUGUCAAUCAAUACCAAUGUAAAAAUGUAUUAACUCUUCAGCUUUUCCACAUUUCCUGACAUGAAAUUUUGGCAAAAAUUAGAUAGGAGCAAAUGACUCACUAAUUCUAAUUUCAUUUCAUUUCUUUAGAAAUAAUGCUUAGAUGUGACUAGAGAUACACAGAGAGAGAGACAGAGAGAGAGAAACUGAGAGACAGAGAUGAGGAGAGAGAAAGAGAGAGAGAGAGCGAUUCUGUAAAGGGCUCUGAAUUUAUUGACUCACACAACCAUACAGAACCAGGGAGAGGAGAAUGUUUCUGCCAAAUGAAUAGAAGUGAAAGUUUAAAAAUAAAUAAACAAAAAUUACUGCAUCGAGUUCUUUCAUUCCUCCAAUUAAUGACCUUUUCUUAGCAGUUUAACCUCUCUUGGGAGUAAAAGGGAGCUAGGCAAAGGGUAGACAGCAAAGAGCCUAACAUAGAGAAGAGGAGCUCUGGGUCACCUGGGUGAACUUUCAUUUGCUAAAUCAAAAGGAUACAUAACUCAUCCUCAUUACCUUUUGUCCAAGGCAGAAUAAACAACAUCAAAACUGGAAAAAAAGAUGAGUUUACAGCUUACUUAAUUAAGGAAGUGCUGUGCUUAUUAGGGACAGUCUCACUGAGCAGAGCUGCAUGCUAGUCUUAGAAGCCAUAUCAGGUUAGUGUUGGUUAGAGUUGUCUUGGUUACAGUGAUAGCAGUGGGUUGUCAACAGCAUUAGAAACAGAUUAUUAGGCACAACUGUGUUGAACUGGCUGGGUUCAGAAGUAUGAUCACUGGAGUGAGGCUGCCACUGUCUUUAAGCAUGGUGUCACUAACUGGCCAACUUUCGGUGGUGUGUUCAGUUAUUAAUUGAUUGGAUUAUGGUGUGUUGUCAUUGAUAGAUCAGGCAGGAUUAAAACCAGUUCUGGCAUUUACUUGUUACCAUGGUUAUAAAACAAUCUGUCUUUUCCCAUGGAUGAGGGACUUUCAAGUUUGCACUAUCAUGUACAUUUUGUCAUACUUCGUAUUUUAAAAUCACAUUUUACUUCUAUUUUCAGGAAGAUCGAGUGGACUUUCUUUUCUCUACCUUUCCUGCUAACCAUAACUGUCAUUAUAUAUAAAACAAAUAUAUGAAAACUCUGAAAGUUGUAAAGGAGAAGGCAGAUAGGCCAGGGACCCUGGGACCUAGAAACAACGGGGUGGUGAGUUCCCUGGGUAUUCAUUUUGCUUCAUGUAUCUAAGACUUGGAGAUGAAGAAGCCAGAAGCUCAGAAAUGUCAACUGGCACAAACUAAAUCUCUCUCUCCACUGAACCCCUACUCUGUCUAGCCAAAGAACUAGGAAAGGGGCAGCAUAACAGAAAUAAUACUUUGAAACAAAACAUGAUCUACUCAAAUGAAAUGCCACAGAAAAAACAGUGGUCUCACCCCGACCCAGGCCAUGAAAGGCCAAGUAAGGAGCUUUUACUUUCACACUCUUCAGGCAAUAGCACCCACCCACCGCUCUCAACAGUGUGGUGCCAGCUUGAGACAGGAGCCAGGACUUUCAUCGCUGCUAAGAAGUAAUGAUCCUGACCCCCUGAGUGGUCUCAGUGGAGACCACAUAGGGUACACGGACUUCUGCCUCACCUGACAGUAACAAAAUGCCAGUCUGCCUCUUCACUGGGAUGGUGUCAAAGGAGGCUUCAUAGAGAGUCAGGACUUUCACCACCCCUAGCAGUAGUGAGACCACCCCAGGGGUGUUGGUAGAGGCUGUGUGGGGAACAAUAAAAAGGAACUCAUAUUCACCUCUGCCAAGGAGGUUUGAAUGAGGGACAAGUAGAGAGGCAGUAAUGAGGAGCACACACCCCUCAGGGGUCAGCAGAGACCAAGAGGGGAACCUGCACUUCCAAUUCACUUUGAAAUAAUGAAGUAGUUCCUUCUCUUCCCCCGCCAGAGUGGUGUCAAAGGAAGCCAAGUGAAACAGAAGGUUCCAGAAGAUCCAAAGUCCCAGAAUAUAAUAAUCAAAAUAUUCAGGUUUCAAUAAAAAAUUACUUGUCAUACAAAAACCAGGAAAGCCUCCACUUGAAUGAAAAAGAAAAUCAGCAGAUGUCAAUGCUGAGUGACAGGUUUUAGAAUCCCUGACAAAGAUUUUGAAGCAACUUUUGUAAAAAUGCUUCAAGGAACAAUACCAAAUGUGAUUGAGACAAAUGGAAAAAAGAAAGAAAGAAAGAAAACCUCAGCAACUAAAUUGGCAUUAUAAGGAAGAACCAAAUGGAAAUGUUAGAACUGAAAAAUAUAAUAAGCAACAUUUAAAAAUACUCAAUGGAUGGGUUCAGCAGCAGAAUAGAGGGAAUAGAUGAAAGAAUUAGUGAACCUGAAAAUAGAACAAUAGGAAAUAUUCACUCUAAACCACAGAGAGAUAGACUGGAAAAAAAUAAAAAUGAAAAAGCCUCGGGGGCUAGGUGUGGUGGUUCAUGCCUGUAAUCCCGGUACUUUGGAAGGCUGAGGUGGGCAGAUCACCUCAGGUCAGGAGUUUGAGACAAGCCUAGCUAACAUGGUAAAACCCCAUCUUUAAUAAAAAUACAAAGAUUAGCUGGAUGUGGUGUCACGUGCCUGUAAUCCUAGCUACUCAGGAGGCUGAGGCAGGAGGAUCACUUGAACCCAGGAGGCAGAGGUUUCAGUGAGCCGAGAUUGCACGGCUGCACUCCAACCUGGGUGACAGAGCGUGACUCCUUCUCAAAAAAAAAGAAUCUUCAGGAACCCGUGGAACUAUCACAAAAGGUAUAUUGUUCUUGUUAUCAGAGUCCCAGAAGGAGAGGAAAUAAAAAAUAAUGCUAUAAAAGUACUUGAAGAAAGAAGGGCUGAAACUCUCUAAACUAGGCAAAAGAUGUAAGACUACAGAUUUAAGAAGUGGGCCAAACACUGAACAGGGUAAACCCAAAUAAAACAGCACCAAGACAAAUCGCAGUUAAACUUCUGUAAACUAAUGGCAAAUGAAAAUCAUUAAAGUAUUCAAAGAGAAACACCACCUUACCUAUGGGUGGAAAAGAAUUCAUAUGACAGCAGAUUUUCUAUCAGAAACCAUGAAGGAAAGAUGAAGUGGGGCAAAGCAUUGUUCAAGUGCUAAAAGAAGAAACUGUCAACCAAUAUCACUUGUCAAGCAAAAAUACCCCUCAGGAAUGGAGGGGAAGGCAAAACAUUCUGAGGUGGGGAAAAAAAAAAAAAAGAAAAUGCUUUGCCAGCAGAUCUACCAUAAAGGAAAGGCUAAAGGAAGUUCUCUAAACAAGAAAGACAUGACAAAACACAGAAUACAGGAAUGUCAAGAGUGAAGAAAGAACAGGGAAACAGCAAAAUAAAUAAGUGAAUAGGUAAAUACAACAAUCAUAUCAUAAAAGUACAAUUACAUUAUAAACAGGGGAGGGCAGACAGUAAUCGUAGAUGAGAUUUCUAUACUUCCUUUGUACUGGCAAAAUGAUGGCAUGAGCACACUCUGAUGGCAAUUUAAUGUAUAUGUAAUGCAAUAAAUGGAAUAACUACAGAAAAAGCUAGACAAAGAGAUACAUUCAAAAACCCUAUAGAUAAAUUAAAAUGAAAUUCUAAAACUGCUCCAGUAAGGCAGAAAAAAGUCAACAAAAUGAAAACAGAACAAAAAGAAAACAAAAAAUAGAAUGGCAGAUUUUAGUUCUAACAGCAGUAAGUACAUUUACUGUAAAUGGUCUUAAUACAUCAAGUACAAGACAGAGACUGACAGAAUAAUGAACAUGGGCAAACUAUAUGCAAUGUUUGAAAAAAACUCACUUCAAGUACAAUUAAAAUAUCUUAACAAAUUUAAAAUAAUUGAAAGCAUACAGAGUGUGCACUAUGAUGAUGGAAUCAAAGUAGAAAUCAAUAACAAACAUAAAAUAGAUUUUCUGACAAUUAAAAACAAUACAUUUUCAUACAGUUCACAGGUCAAAAAAGAAGUCUGAAAGGAUGCAAUUGAGUAAAAAUGAAAAUACAAUUUGUCAGUGAUUGUGAGUCACAGCUGAAGCAGUACUGGGGAGGAAAUUUAUAGCACUGAAUGUAUGCAUUUUGAAGAGAGGAAAGAGUCUUACUCUAGUCUCCUUCCAAGAACCUAGAAAAAGAAGAGCAAAAUCAAUCCAAUGCAAGCAGAAGGAAGUAAGUAAUAAAAAUAAGAACAUAAAUCAAUGAAACUGAAAACAGAAAAUCAUUAGAGAAUAUUAGGGAAACAAGUAACUGGUUCUUUUUAAAGAUUUUAGAAAAACCCUAGCAAGAUGUAUUAGUUUGUUUUCACUCUGCUGUUAAAGACAUACCCAAAACUGGGAAGAAAAAGAGGUUUAAUUGGACUUGCAGUUCUAAAUGGCUGGGGAGGUCUCAGAAUCACGGCAGGAGGCCAAAGGCACACCUUACAUGGCAGUGGCAAGAGAAAAAUGAGAAAGAAGCAAAAGCGGAAACCCCUGAUAAACCCAUCAGAUCUUGUGAGCCUUUUUCACUUUCACAAGAAUAGCACAGAAAAGAUAGGUCCCCAUGAUUCAAUUACCUCCCUGGGUCCCUCCCACAACAUGUGGGAAUUCUGGGAGAUACAAUUCAAGUUGAGAUUUGGGUGGGGACACAGCCAAACCAUCUAAUUCCGCCCAUGGCCCCUCCAAGUCUCAUGUCCUCACAUUUCAAAACCAAUCAUGCCUUCCCAAUAGUCCCCUGAACUCUUAACUCAUUUCAGCAUUAACCCAAAAGUCCACAGUCCAAAGUUUCAUCUGAGACAGGGUAAGUCUCUUCCACCUAUUACCCUGUAAAAUCAAAAACGAGCUAUUUACUUCCUAGGUACAGUGGGGGUACAGGUAUUGGGUAAAUACAGCCAUUCCAAAUGGGAGAAAUUGUCCAAAACAAAGGGGUUACAGGCCCCACACAAGUCUGAACUCCAGCAAGGCAGUCAAAUUUUAAAGCCCCAAAAUGAUUUCUGUUGACUCCAGGUCUCACAUCCAGGUCACACUGAUGCAAGAGGUGGGUUCCCAUGUUCUUGGGCAGCUCUGCCCCUGUGGCUUUGCAGGGUACAGCCUCCCUCCUGGCUGCUUUCACAGGCUGGUGUUGAGUGUCUGCAGCUUUUCCAGGCACACGGUGCAAGCUGUUGGUGGAUCUAUCAUUCUGGGGUCUGGCGGACGGUGGUCUUCUUCUCACAGCUCCAGUAGGCAGUGCCCCAGUAGGGACUCUGUGUGGGGGCUCUGAUCCCACAUUUCCAUUCCACACUUCUCUGGCAGAAGUUCUGCUUGAGGACCCUACCCCUUCAGCAAACUUUUGCCUGGGCAUCCAGGCAUUACCAUACAUCUUCUGAAAUCUAGACAGAGGUUCCCAAACCUCAAUUCUUGACUUCUGUGCACCUGCAAGCUCAAAACCACAUGGAAGCUGCCAAGGCUUGGGGCUUCCACCCUCUGAAGCCUCAGACUGAGCUCUAUGUUGGCCCCUUUCAGCCAUGGCUGUAAUGGCUGGGACACAGGGCACCAAGUUCCUAGGCUGCACACAGCAUGGAGACCCUGGGCCCUGCCCACAAAACCACUUUUUCCUCCUGGGCAUCAGGGCCUGUGAUGGGAGAGUCUGCCAUGAAGGCCUCUAACAUGGCCUGGAGACAUUUCCCCCAUGGUCUUGGGGAUUAACAUUAGGUUCCUUGCUACUAUGCAAAUUUCUGUAGCCAGCUUGAAUUUCUACUCAAAAAAUGGGUUUUUCUUCUCUACUGCAUUGUUAGGCUGCAAAUUUUCUGAACUUUUAUGCUCUGUUUCCCUUUUAAAAUGGAAUGCUUUUAACAGCACCCAAGUCACUUUUUGAAUGCUUUGAUGCUUGGAAAUUUCUUCCUCCGGCCAGGCGCGGUGGCUCACCCCUGUAAUCCCAGUACUUUGGGAGGCUGAGGCGAGUGGAUCACGAGGUCAGGAGAUCAAGUCCAUCCUGGCUAACACAGUGAAACCCCGUCUCUACUAAAAAUACAAAAAAAUUAGCCGAGUGUGGUGGAGGGUGCCUGUAGUCCCAGCUACUCGGGAGGCUGAGGCAGGAGAAUGGCGUGAACCUGGGAGGUGGAGCUUGCAGUAAGCCGAGAUCGCACCAAUGCACUACAGCCUGGGUGACAGAGCGAGACUCCAUCUAAAAAAAAAAAAAAAAAAAAGGAAAUUUCUUCUUCCAGUUACCCUAAAUCAUCUCUCUCAAGUUCAAAGUUCCACACAUCUCUAGGGGAAGGGCAAAAUGCUGCCAGUCUCUUUGCUAAAACACAACCAGAGUCACCUUUGCUACAGUUCCCAACAAGUUCCUCAUCUCCAUCUGAGACCACCUUAGCCUGGACCUUAUUGUUCUUAUCACUACCAACAUUUUUUUUCAAAGCCAUUCAACAAGUCUCUAGGAGGUUCCAAACUUUCCCACAUUUUCUUUUUUUCUUCUGAGCCCUCCAAACUGUUCCAGCCUCUGCCUAUUAUGUAGUUCCAAAGUCGCUUCCACAUUUUUGGGUAUCUUUUCAGCAACGCCUCACUCUACCAGUACCAAUUUACUGUAUUAAUUCAUUUUCUCGCUGCUAAUAAAGACAUACCCAAAACUAGGAACAAAAACAGGUUUAAUUGGACUUACAGUUCCACAGGGCUGGGGAGGCCUCAGAAUCAUGCUGGGAAGUGAAAGGCACUUCUUACAUGAUGGUGGCAAGAGAAAAAUGAGGAAGAAGCAAAAGCAGAAACCCCUGAUUAACCUGUCAAAUCCUGUGAGACUUAUUUACUAUCAGGAGAAUCACACAGGAAAGCCCAGCCCCCAUGAUUCAAUUACCCCCCUGGGGCCCCUCCCACAACACGUGGGAAUUCUGGGAGAUACAAUUCAAGGUGUGAUUUGGGUGGGGAAACAAACCAUAUCACAAGACUGACAGAGAAAAAAAAAAGAAGGCAUAAAUUAUUAAUCUCAGGCAUGAAAGAGGGAAUAUCACCAUAGUCACUGAAGACAUCAAAAGAAUAAUAAGGGAAUACUAUCAACAACUCUAUACAUAUCUAUUUGACAAUUUAGAUGACAUAGACCAAUUCAAAACUGUAAUAACUCAUCUAAUAUGAAAUAGAUAAUCUGAAUAACACUAUAUUAGGAAAAUUAUAAUGUAUGAUUUAAUAACUACACCCCAUACCUCCAAAAUGUCCAAGCCAAGAUGAUUUCACUGGAGAAUUCUACAAAACAUUUAAAGAAAAAUUAACACUAACUGUACAUAAUCCCUUCCUGAAAUUAUGAUAAAAAAUUCGGAAUUAUUUUUAUGAAGGUAGUAUUACCCCGAUACUAAAACCAAAGAUGGUAUGAAAGAAAAAAAGAAAGAAAAUGAAACUAUAAGUUAUAUCAUUCAUAAACAUGGAUGAAAAUUCUUAACCAGAUAUUAGUCAACAGAAUUCACCAAUAUAUAAAAAGAAUUAUACACAUGGGGCUUAUUCCAGGAAUGCAAGAGUGGUUCAAUAUUUACAAUUAACCAGUGUAAUCCAUUAUUUUAGUAGCUGAACGAAGUAAAAGUUCUACCUAAAGCAUCUUCCAAAUGCAAAUUGAAUGCCACUUUUUUGCUUGAAUUUUUGAUGUUUCAAGAGAGCAUUACAGAAAGUAUUUACCAAAGCCCUUGACCUUAGUAUGCAGGGUCCUUGGUCCUCUGCCACGCUGUCAUUUUCCCUCUGCCACAUGCACAUGCUGUCACCCUGUGCUUCACACUGCUUUUCUAGAACCAUCUGAGCAUGGUUCCAAUUUAUCAUUCCACAUUGUAUUAUACAGUCUUCUGACUCUUUCCAUUUCAGCAAUUUCUCAAGCCAAACUACAUAAUGAUAACCUAAUUUCCUUCAACUUUAGCAGUACUCAAAGAAUGUUAUAUUUCACAUUGCUACAAUUCACUGAAGCUGAUCUAGUGUCCUGAAAAGAGAGAGGAAUAAAAGAUACUGGUAUCUGAAGGUGGCACACCCGAUGCUGAGAUAUUCUCUUUUGCAUAAACUCAUGGAGGGCUUACACUGAUCUUUGCAUUAACAGCCUAAGUAUAUAGAUGGGAAACAGAUUCACAGAGGCAAACACAGGACAAAACAGUGGCUUUGUAUCUGUCUAAUUUUACUUUCCACAGUCUUUCCACCUUGGCAUUUUCUUUUCAAUUAAGGUUUAUUGAGUGCUAGAAAAGAGAAAGGGGUAAACACUCUGGGUGGGAUGUAAUUUAGAUUCCACAUCUAUGCCUGGCUUGCUGAGAAAUUAUGCUUUAAUGCUUAAUAUAGUGCCAGGAGGCACCCUAUAGGUAACUGAUAAUGCUGAUGACCCUGUAAUGCAUUCCUCUGCUCCCCUCACCAUCCCAUCUUUGACUCAGCUCUGGGUGUCUGCUUCAUGCCUGCCUUUCAUUCUCUGGUGACGUCCAGUUAUCAUGUCAGAGGACACUCCUCUCCUCAUCCCUCCCUUGGAGAUAGCUACCUCAUUCCACCCUUUAGGUAACCAUUGUGGUCAAAUGCAUCAUGGAACUAUUAGAUAUACAUCUUAAAUCAACAUAUUUACCAGGCUCAAGGGGCAACAUUGCUCAAUAUCCUCUUAAGAAAUAAACAUGAACAAAUUCCUUGUGAGAAAGUGAUUUACGGUUUAAAGUUUCUUUUAACAGGAAACAUGUUGUGACUUCUCUCCUCCAGCCCAUCCACGACUGUUGGGGAGUCUUCCACGGGGGCUGACCUUGGCCUGGAAGGUGUUCUUUAAACAUAAACACAAGCUGAAAGGGUAACCAAGGCUAGAUUAGCUCUUAAGCAAACCAACAAUUUCAGAAACAAAAAUAAAAAUACAGCCUUGUGUAUAAAAUUAUUGAUUUUCUCAGCAGUGGACACAAAACAUUGCCUAAAAGGUUGGAAAUAAUCCCCAUAAAGAUCUAUGCAAAAUGAUGCUCUUGGAGCAGACGUGGGCCAGAAAGAUCUUAACAUCUUUGAGCAAACACACUGAUGAAGAAUAAAAGCUAAACAUUUUCACUACAAAAUAUAUUGACCUUAAUUGUAAUCUUUAUCAACUUUUCUUAUUACUGAACUGAUACCAUUUCAUGUAUAAAUGUAAAAAUCAUGGCUAAUUCCACCACCCAGAGAUAACAACAAAGUUUAUUUGCUAUUUGCGUAUGCUUACAUAUAAUACAUUAAUAUACAUACUAUUACAUAAAAUGUUUAAUAUUUAAUUUCCACAUACUUGUAAAUGUACAUACAUAAAAGAGAUUAUAUGGUGAUAUGGUUAGGCUUUAUGUCGCUGCCGAGACCAGCUCGGUCAGGGAGACCCUAACCCAGCGGCGCUAGAGGAAUUAAAGACACACACACACAGAAAUAUAGAGGUAUGAACUGGGAAAUCAGGGGUCUCACAGCCUUCAGAGCUGAGAGCCCCAAACAGAGAUUUACCCACGUAUUUAUUAACAGCAAGCCAGUCAUUAGCAUUGUUUCUAUAGAUAUUAAAUUAACUAAAAGUAUCCCUUAUGGGAAACAAAGUGAUGGGCCGAAUUAAAGGAAUAGGUUGGGCUAAUUAACUGCAGAAGGAGCAUGUCCUUAAGGCACAGAUCACUCAUGCUAUUGUUUGUGGCUUAAGAAGGCCUUUAAGCGGUUUUCCGCCCUGGGUGGGCCAGGUGUUCCUUGCCCUCAUUCCCGUAAACCCACAACCUUCCAGCUUGGGCGUUAGGGCCAUUAUGAACAUGUUACAGUGCUGCAGAGAUUUUGUUUAUGGCCAGUUUUGGGGCCAGUUUACGGCCAGAUUUUGGGGGGCCUGCUCCCAACAGUCCCCGUCAAAAUCUCAUGUUGAAUUGUAAUCCCCGUAAUCCUCAUAAUGCCUGUGUAUCAAGGGAGAGACCAGGUGGAGGUAAUUGAAUUAUGGGGGUGGUUUCCCCAAUGCUUUUCUCAUGAGAGUGAGUGAGCGCUCAAAUAUCUGAUGGUUUUUAAGGGGCUCUUCCCCCUUUGCUUGGCCAUUCUCCUUCUUGCCGCCUUGUAAAGCAGGUGCUUGGCUUUCCCUUCGCCUUCUAUCAUGAUUGUAAGUUUCCUGAGGCUUCCCCAACCAUGCAGAACUGGUUAUUCUUUGUACAGAGGAUGAAGAAAUCCAUGUGCACAGAUUGGACUUCUCCCUUGGGCCGCGGAGAUGUUCCCAACUGUCUCCCGGACAUUUCCAGCUCAGAGUCAACAGAUGAUUGGAGAGUUAUCUCAUCUGCUACAUAUUUACUUAGUCACAUCUCCUAACUGCUCCAAUCACCCAAGAGCAAAAUCUAAGUGUCUGCCUUAAUAGUUCUUAUCAAUGCAUCACCAUUCACAGAUGUGCAUGCACUUAUACAUACACUCCUUCAAUCCAUCCUACGUGGUGUUGAUUGUAUCUCCAAUACAUUCUUCAUAACCCUUCUUUCUUCUCUGCCUUCUACAGUCCCUAUCCUGGACAAGACACUAAUAAUUUCUGAGGGGUAUAAUUUUAAUACAUUAUUCUCUGAACUCCCUACUGACAAUUCAUGUUCUUCACAUUGCAAAUAAAGUUCUCGCUCUCUAAAAUGGCAG
rnacentral:lncRNA from 1 species